rnacentral:rRNA from 1 species
AGAGAGAGACAUGCGCGCAUAUCAAUAAGCGGAGGAAAAGAAACUAACAAGGAUUCCCCUAGUAACGGCGAGUGAAGCGGGAAGAGCUCAAAUUUGAAAUCUUAAAGGGUUUCCCUUUACGAAUUGUAGUUUAAAGAAGUGUUUUCUGUUGAGGUUUUGGUAAAAGUUCUUUGGAAUAGGACGAUCAUAGAGGGUGAGAAUCCCGUAUUUGACCUUUACUUUCAACUUUGUGAUACACUUUCAAAGAGUCGGAUUGUUUGGGAAUGCAGUCCAAAAUGGGUGGUAAAUUUCAUCUAAAGCUAAAUAUUGGCGAGAGACCGAUAGCGAACAAGUACCGUGAGGGAAAGAUGAAAAGAACUUUGAAAAGAGAGUUAAACAGUACGUGAAAUUGUCAAAAGGGAAGCGUUUGACACCAGUGUUGUUUUUCUGAAAAUCAAUUAAAGAACUGUUUAUGCUAAGUUGUUUAGACUUUAUCAGCUAACUGUUUAGUUUUGAGCUUUUCUUUAAUGCACUUUUCAGUUAACAAGUCCAACAUCAAUUUCUUUUGCUGUAAAAAAGCUUGAGGAAGGUGGCUUGAGAUUCGUCUUAAGUGUUUAUAGCCUCUUGCCUAUGCAGUCGGAGAGAUUGAGGUCUGCAGCGUAGAUCCUUCGGGGCUAAAUGCAUUUGUGCUAAGUUAUAGCAUUUUAUAGACAACUUGUUGACUAUGAUUUGUCUUGUAGCUUACUCGCUUAUGUUAUUUUACCUACGCUUAGGAUGUUGAGCGCAUGUCUCUCUCU